GGGGAUGAAUCUAUAAGACGAGAAGACCCCAUGGAGCUUUAAACCCGACAGCACCCGCUUACUUUAUACCUAAUUAUAUGCCCGUUGCCUGUCUGCUCGGUUUUAGGUUGGGGUGACCACGGAGUACAAAAUAACCUCCAUGAAAAAGGGGAUAAUACCCUUAUUAGAGAACAACACUUCCAAAAACUAAUAAAUUAAUUUCUAAUGAUCCGACAUUCGAUCAACGAACCAAGUUACCCUGGGGAUAACAGCGCAAUCCACCCCGAGAGCUCCUAUCGACAGGUGGGUUUACGACCUCGAUGUUGGAUCAGGGUAUCCCAGUGGUGCAGCAGCUACCAACGGUUCGUUUGUUCAACGAUUAAAACCCU
rnacentral:rRNA from 1 species